CAAUAGCGUAUAUUAAAGUUGUUGCAGUUAAAAAGCUCGUAGUUGGAUUUCUGGGAGGGUGCCGCCGUCCGGCGUGUCCGUGUGCAGUGGCGCCCUUCCAUCCUUCUGUUAGCGUCUCUUGGCAUUCAUUUGCUGGUGGCGGGCUCAGAUGUUUUACCUUGAGAAAAUUAGAGUGCUUCAGGCAGGCUAGGCCGGAAUACAUUAGCAUGGAAUAAUGGAAUAGGACUACGGUCUCUUUGUUGGUUUGAGGGACUGCAGUAAUGAUUAAUAGGGAUAGUUGGGGGCAUUAGUAUUUAAUUGUCAGAGGUGGAAUUCUCAGAUUUGUUAAAGACUAACUUAUGCGAAAGCAUUUGCCAAGGAUGUUUUCAUUAA
rnacentral:rRNA from 1 species